AAAAAGAACAACGAGUAAUUUUACAAACGUUUGACCGUUUGUUUUAUUUGAAAAAUUUUUAUGAUUAGUAUUUUUAUUGCUAUUAGAUGAUAAAACAUGAAUAUUACUUUACGUGUGACUAAUUUUUUAAAAUUUUUCAUCAAUUUUCUAAAUAAGACGGACGGUCAAACGUUGUACACGGAUACCCACAAAUGCAUUUAUU
rfam:Oryza glumipatula chromosome 4, whole genome shotgun sequence.